AAAUGCUUCAGAGCAACAGCUAAGAAAUUCUUUCCAUAUCUGCUGUUAAUUAGUAACUGCUUAUUUACAUCUAGGAAAGGCAAACACUGGUCUGCCUCUUCUGGAGUGCCGUGCUUCAGGAUUAGCGACAGACAGACCUUCUGCAGCUCACGACAUUUACCUACUGUAUUUUCUUUAACAGCUGAAGUAAUGACAUCUUAUUGACAGCACAGCAGAGCAAACAAUGUCUUACUGAAAGCUUCAGUGCUGGAUUUGGGCCGUCCUAAGGACCUGAGACCAAGUAAAGUAAGCAGGUUUUGCUACUGAAUGAAAGACAAUGACUGUUCUAGUUCACCGGUGGCCUUUAGCACUCCUAGACACAAAAAAGGUAUGCACAGCUCACUGAGAUAUCAUUUGCUAAUUUUGUACUUCACCCAGGUCAUUAGACCAGCUACAAAUAUUUGUGAGGACUGAACUGAGUUGGCGAAUUGGGUUUUUGUUUUUCAUUACUGUGUAAGACUUUACUAAAAUGAUACAUGUACCUGUAUUCCUUAGGUAGUGUCUCCCUCUAGCAAACUCCUCUCAGCAUCCUGUGGGUAAAACGCCUCAGACAUAGGCCUAGCCACUUAGCAUCCUAUAUCUUGAUACCCUUUUCUGCUUUAUCUUCCCCGUGAUAGAAGUUUCAUCUCGUUUAAACAACCUAUCUUUAAAUACAACUCAAUACAUCUGGUCUAUCUAUAAUGAAGAGGUAUGAGAGUGGUUUAUUUUCAAUUCACAAAGUAGUAUAAUAGCUCAACAAGUACAAAAAUCCCACAAAUUAUGUAUCAGGCUUUACACUGGUUUCACUUAUUCCUGUUGUAUGGUCUUAAGUGAGAUUAUUACUUGGAAGGUCAUGGUACCAUGUAGAUAAACUUUUUUGAAUGUCCAAUACCAGAAAGGCCAGGGAAGUUGAAACCAUGUAAUCUGGAAAAGCAGUUUAUUUGCCAAGAAUCUCCAGCAUCCAAUUCACAGAUAUCUUAAAUCCAGGUUACCUCAUUAUUUAUCCCCAAGUGUACUUCUAAUAUGAGAAUGAAACAUUGCAUUUGGCCAGUUUGUAAAACUGUUACAAUUAAGUCUAAUCAAUUACUUUCACCAGUUCUAACUGCAGGUGUCUGAAGUAUUUCACUUCUGUUCUCCAUGCAGACAAGUAUCCUUCCAAAGAGGACGUAGGGAAGAUCAGAGAAUCAGAAUCCUUAGAGUUGGAAGGGACCUUUAAAGGUCAUCUAGACCAACUUCCCUGCAGUGAACAGCGAACAGGGACACCACAGCAAGAUCAGUUGCUCAGGUUGCUAGAUCAGGUCCAGCCUGACCUUGAAUGUCUCCAGGGGUGGGACAUCCACAUCUCUGGACAACCUGUUCCAGUGCUUUAUUAUUAAUACCACAAAAAACCCCACCUUUUCUUUAUAUCCAACCUAAAUCUCCCCUCUUUAAGUCUGAAACCAUUUCCCCCUGUCCUAUCACCACAGACCCUGCUGAAGAGUCAGUCCCCUCCUUCCUCACAUCCCCUUCAGACACCAACAGGCCGCCCUCAGGUCUCCCCACAGCCUUCUCCUCCUCGGGAGGAACGAGCAGCGGGGGCAGAGCCACAGGGCCGGGUUUCACCUAAAUCAGCAUGAUAAUCACAUUGCUUUGCAGAACAUUGUCCUUAACAGAGGUUGUUCUUAGCCUGAUCCUUAAUAAAGGGGAUAAUAGUUCGUGAGAACAACGGUCACAGGAGAUAUUUCUAGUCAGCUUUUGUUCUUGUACUUGGCCAGUUUGUGUGCUGCCUAAGGGUAUAAAUAGAGGGACUAUAGUGGGGAUUAGCAGACUUUCUUUCCAGCCGGUCUCGUGUGCCAAAGCGAUGACUCUAUUAGCAUUGUUUCCCCUGAAAGGUUUGUUUCACUCCGGCUUUCAGAAACCAGCACAAAGGCACCAAGCCGUUCCCGAGGCCCCAUUUUCUCCUCCUCUAAUACCGGGAGCGUGUGCUUCCACCUGGGACAACCCAAGCUCUCUCCACCUCCCCUUGGCGACAGGGGCAAGGUUGCUCUGAGGGUUCUACACCUCUGCAAGCUGUUCUACACCUCAGCACCGCAGAGACGCUUUUUGGAUAGCAUUUAACACUCAGUAUUCUGUAGAUGAAGUGGAAGUUAGCGAUGGCUUUGGCCUUUCAUGUGCCUCAAAGAUAGAGCGCAUCGAAUGUCUCCUAUGUACGGUCACCCCAACACUGCGUGUUAGAGGGCAGAGAAACCCGGAGUUAAAGGCUAGGCCUCACCUCUCUGAGCUUUAGAGAAUGGACAGCAAUAUAUAACAAAGUCACCCUGGGAUCCCUUUGUAAUUAACAAAUAGGCACCUUUCAGGUCUGAUCCUUCUGAUCCAUUUUGACUGACAUUGGUAUGCAGUGAAUCACCUGGGGUUAAACAAACACGGUACUCUGUUGUCUGUAGAUGACCAAGCAAGGUUGUAUUUCUGCUUCAGUUCUCUAUCACAUGGGCAAUUUACUGAGCACCCAGCUUCUCAGUUUUCUUUCUCUCUUUUUUCUUUUUCUUUCUUUCUUUCUCUCUUUUUUCAUUUCCUUCUUUCCUUCCUUCCUUCCUUCCUUCCUUCCUUCCUUCCUUCCUUCCUUCCUUCCUUCCUUCCUUCCUUCCUUCCUUCCUUCCUUCCUCCCUUCCUUCCUCCCUUCCUUCCUCCCUUCCUUCCUUCCUUCCUUCCUCCCUUCCUUCCUCCCUUCUUUCCUCCCUUCCUUCCUUCCUUCCUUCCUUCCUUCCUUCCUUCCUUCCUUCCUUCCUUCCUUCCUUCCUUCCUUCCUUCCUUCCUUCCUUCCUUCCUUCCUUCCUUCCUUCCUUCCUUCCUUCCUUCCUUCCCCCCUUCCUUCCUUCCUUCCUUCCCCCCUUCCUUCCUUCCUCCUUCCCCCCUUCCUUCCCUCCUUCCCUCCUUCCUUCCUUCCUUCCCUCCUUCCUUCCCUCCUUCCCUUCUUCCCUCCUUCCCUCCGUCCUUCCUUCCUUCCUUCCAACAAUCUCGGUACAUGUCUGCACAUGUGUUUAAAUGAGUUUAAACAUCUUUCUGAACCAGCUCUAGGUGCCUAUCAUGGCAGAGGACUAAGCUUUUUCAGUACACAACCACCAGAAUUCCCAGAGCUGUGUCACUGACCGAUCUGAAAAAUCAACUGUUUUGAUUGCAUCCAUCCAUGUGGUGUGCAGAGCUUUUCUGGCAUGCCAUAAUCAUCUCUGUGAUCCAGUCCAGUAUGCACAGCGCUAAAUUUCAGCAACUAGAAACAACAAUCUGAAUUCCAACGUAAUCAUUCAUACCAGGUGCAUAAUGGAACACCAGGAUGAAGGCUGAGAGCCAUCUAAACAGCUAAGUGUGAAUUACUGCACCAUAACUCAAAGUCAUUGGUAACUUUUAUUAAUAAUUUAUAGAGCUGCAUAUUAUUAAUAUAUGCAGAAACAGCUGUCUCUCUCUCCGGUGGAAUUUGCUUUUGUGAGCGAUUUAGGGGAGGCCAAGGAGAUUAAGAAGCAGAAACCCAGCAGAGCUUCCCUGAACAACGAAGAGGAGAGCUGCAGAAGUAGGUCAUAAAACCUUUCAGUAGGUGGAUGGGUCCUUCCCUCAUUAGUCUAUUUUUAAAUACGCAGGACCAAAUCCUUAGCCAGUAUAAAGGAACUCGGUCCCAUUGACUCAUAUGCAGCCAGCCUGACAUAUUGACACACUUUGAAAAUCUGACCUGUGCUUGUUUAAGUGUAAAGAAAUACCCUGACACACACCAAUUACAAGCUUGGGUGAUAUUUUGAGUGUGCAGUGACACAAAGCAGGACACGCAAUACGCUGCGAUAACAGUGAAAUCUGAAUAUUCUUCAAGACAGGGGGCCAAAGUGCUGCUGUGUGAGUGCCAUACUGCCUCAUGAUGAAUGUAUUACAGACAUACAGCUGUCUCUACAUAUCUGUAAAACAGAUAUUGCCUUCUUAUUCACCAGCCCAUGUGCUUUACUUACUGACUCAUUAGAGCUGCCCUCUAGGAUUUCUUCCACUUGAGGACUGAAUCUCCGAUCUACUCUGGAAGAUUAAAAAGCACUCAUGGUUUUACAGAAAUCAGUUCCUCUUAUUUAAACACGUAAUUAAUUUCAUGGCAGGCAUUUCCCAGCAUUCUUUUUUUUCUUUCCAGUCUAUUUACAGGCCUGCUGUCUGCAGCAGAGUUUGUUUAAUGUGCUAACAUUUGUACAUCAAUUACUCCAUGAGAAGACAACCUUCAGGAAUGAAUUAUCUAUCUCUUAGCUACCCUUAAAAUUGAGCUUAAUAAUAAUAAUAAUAAUAAUAAUAAUAAUAAUAAUUUCUAAGGCUGAAUGGAAAAUAUUUUCUCUCUCCAGAUUUAUGAGUCCAAAAUGUUUUAUAUUGCACAACCAGGGAAACAGAAGACCUUGGGAAGUUUCCCACAAACAGGUUUAAAAGCCUGAGAAAAGCUGGAGGGAAGCAUGUUCACCUGAGGCUCAGAAAAAUCAGAGUGAGAUCCUUAUGUCAAUGUAUAAUUAUCUAAAAUGACAAUAUAAAAUCAUUUUAUUAGAGGAAAUUCUGGAGUCCUUUUCAGCCAGUGUCCAGUAGUUGGAUAAGCUUGAAGGUAAGAAGCUUGAAGGUAAGAAGGUCUUGUUUGAAUCAAGAUCUUCAGCAUCCCAGGAUGGGUAAUGGUCAUGCACCCAAAGCAAGAAGAAGAGGAGAGACAUUCCUCCCUGAUAGUCUUUUCCCUUCUCCUCCUCCUGUUUCCUCCCAGCUUAGAGCAGAAAUGCAAUAGUUUAGCCAAGAACAUUUCUGCAAGAGUUUCUGUGUGACAAUAACAAAAAAAUAUAUUUUAUAUGAACAAACUCAGUGUAAAUUAAUUCAUUUUUUGAUGAAAAUACAAACGAAAAGAAUCUGAGUAGGUAAGAUUUUUCCUCCCAUAGAAAUAUGUGAACAAAUAAAUACAUGUAGAUCUAAAAUCUAUGGAUUUUAACAGAGUGAAAAUUUGCAUUAAUCUACAAAACCCUGCUGCUGAAGUAUUGUUGCUAAAGUAUAUAUAAGCCCAUAACAUACAGGAGGUAUCACCAGAAGCCAUAGCUUUGUCAUGCAAUUUGGCUGAAAUCUAGAAGUAAAGUAGUAAAAAUACAGAUGUCAUGUGACCCUUUCCCAUUAGUGACAUUAUCUCGUAAUUUGAAUCGUAGAAUCAUAGAACGGCCUGGGUUGAAAAGGACCACAAUGAUCAUCGAGUUUCAACCCCCCUGCUAUGUGCAGGGUCACCAACCACCAGACCAGGCUGCCCAGAGCCACAUCCAGCCUGGCCUCGAAUGCCUCCAGGGAUGGGGCAUCCACAACCUCCCUGGGCAACCUGUUCCAGUGUGUCACCACCCUCUGAGUGAAAAUUUGAGUCUAUUCAUAGUUCAGAAGUGGGUUACCAUCUGAGAUUAAAAAUUUUAACUGUCAAAGAGAGUUGAUUUUAAGAUUUUCAUUCCCCUUUUAGGUGAAUUUUAGUGUUUAUAUCUGCCAGGAAUGUGGGUUUGGUUUUUAUCCUUGCUGCUCCUGAGCUUUGAGGAAAACCUGAUCAGCACUUUAUACUUUAUUUUUUUUUUUAGUAAUUUAUAGAAGGAUGGAAAGACCCAUUGCUUUUAUAUCAUUGAGUAAAAAAAAAACUACGUAGGUACCAAGUGUUUCUUUUGUUUUGCACAUGUAAAUGUAAGUGUUUAGAGGGAUUUUUAGAUGAUCAUAGAUGUGCUUUUGGAUCUAAUUCUUAAGUAUGUACCAAAUGUGACUUAACAAAUUUUCAAGAUUGUAAGUUGGAGAAAAGCACAAUAUGUAAUGACCUUACCUUCAACACAAAUGAACAGACAACACUCGAGUACUCCCUUUGGAUACUUAUUUUGGACACUUGGCUCACUUGCAGUGUCUGCAAAAUUUUCUGAUACACAUUUCACGUUUGUUAGUGGUGAUUUUAGACUACAGAUAUGAGCAGAAGGUGCUGCAGGAGGCAAAGCACUAACCCACACUGCUUUGGAUUUCUUCUCGAAUCUCCUUUCCUCAUUGCAAAACCAGACCGGUUUUAAUCACUCUAGCACAAGUGUGCAGUGCCUCGGGAUAGCCCGGGGUGAGCUGUGCUCCCGCUGCAGGAAUUGCUGUGCGCUGCCCGCUCCUGGCACCAUGGGGGCCCUGCAGCACCACAUGGCCUCUGAAGGCAUCUUCCAGUCUUGGAGGGUUUUCUGACCCCAUGCUGUGCUGCCAGCAGAGCCAUCUCUUUUGGAAGUUUUUUAAAUUAUCCCGGGUACUGCUGACUGGAAAGUUUUCAACAGUACGUAUUCUUUUCAGAAAAUGAAGUAAAAUAAAAUAAAAUAAAAUAAAAUAAAAUAGAAUGCCAGUUCAUCAAAAAAGGAACUUUAAACAGAAGUCUGUUGAGAGCAAAAUGAGAGAGAUGAGACAAAGAUCAUUUUCCUUCGAGAAAGUGGAAUUUCUGCUCUAGUCAGGAGAGACUGAAAGCCCCGGCCCCGCACAGCAGCAUCCUUACCUGCAAUAACCAUUACCUUCACAUCUGUGCAACUCAUCUGGCAGAAACAGCCUGGGGUUGAGUCCCCGACACACAGAAUCCAAAUUAGAUCUGUUAUUUCUACAGCCAGAUAAGAAGGCGAUGCUGCUACAAUGGCCCACCACACCAUCAAUCUCAAUGCUGCGCUUUCCCCAGUCGCACUUGCAUUCCUGUGUUGAAAGAACCACUGCAGCACUGCAAGAUCUGUCUUUGUUCCACAUUUUCUCAUAUAUUAAUAUGUUGGAUGCCAUUAUCCUGGGGAAAACUGGCUGUUUGCAAGAGCUCCAUUUCAGUAGUAGCUUUUCAAGACUUUUUUGGUCGUACAACUUAAAAAUCAUACCAUCAAUAGCAUUUCUCAUAAGAUGGAUGCCACCAGCCCACAAACACCCUCUGUGAUGGCCAUUUGGAGACAUGAGGAGGUCACAGCCACCAUGAGAUACCCUUGCAGAGCUGGCAGCACUAGGGCUGACGUUGCAAUCCCCAUGAAGGUAGCCCUGAGGUGGUCAGUGGAUGGAGGGUCUAACCCUAUCCUUUUGGGUCUAACCACAGCUGCCAGGAGAUGUUUUUGAGCCUUCAUUUUCAAGUUCCCCACAGCAUCCACAGUACCACUGGUAUGCAGCAUAUGGCCUGUGCAGUAACAAAUUAGGAGAUUUUAAAGGGACUUUUCUAAGCUUUGUGACUCACCCAGAACCAGGUGAUGCUGUCAUCUUCCCAAAGUUAAACUUGUUCCCUCACACUUUUGUGAUCUGGGUAUGUAUCUCUUGGACUAGUAAAUGGUAAUUUAAUGGGUUGUUUUCUCCAAUAUCCCACUUGUGCCGGUUAAAUGCAAUACAAUUUACCUGUCUGAUGGAUCAGGAGAGCAAUUCCUCCUCAUGUAAUGUGAAGCUUAUAAGUCCCAUACCUCUGCUCUCCCCAUAAAGGUGCAAUAUAGAGUUUCUCUGUUCUUUCAUAAGACAGGGCAAACAGGAACA
ensembl:lncRNA